rnacentral:rRNA from 1 species
AACGAACGCUGGCGGCGCGCCUAACACAUGCAAGUCGCACGAGAAGGUGGGGCAACCCACUGGUACAGUGGCGAACGGGUGAGUAAUGCGUGGGUAACCUACCCUCGAGGGGGGAAUAACCCGCCGAAAGGCGGGCUAAUGCCGCGUACGCGCCCGGGGUUGCGGCUCCGGGCGGAAAGCUGCCCUGUGAGGGUGGCACUCGAGGCGGGGCUCACGUCCUAUCAGCUAGUUGGUAGGGUAAUGGCCUACCAAGGCGGCGACGGGUAGCUGGUCUGAGAGGACGAUCAGCCACACUGGCACUGCGACACGGGCCAGACUCCUACGGGGAGGCAGCAGUGAGGAAUAUUGCGCAAUGGGCGCAAGCCCUGACCCACGACCCCCGUGGGGAUAGAAGGGCUUCGGCUUGUAACCCCUUUCGGGGGGGAAGACGGUCUUAAACCCUAAGACGGACGGUCCCCCCAAAGCAGCCACGCUAAUUCUGCCGCACCGCGGUAUACAAAGUGGCAGCGUUGUUCGGAUUUCUGGGCUAAGGGAGCGUAGUGGUCGGUAACCCCGGGGAAGUCCAGCUAACCUG